GAUGAACGCUAGCGGCAGGCUUAAUACAUGCAAGUCGAGGGGCAGCAUAAGUAGCAAUACUUGAUGGCGACCGGCAAACGGGUGCGGAACACGUACAGAACCUUCCUUCGAGCGGGGAAUAGCCCGGAGAAAUCCGGAUUAAUACCCCAUAGUAAAUUGAAAAGGCAUCUUUUUAAUUUUAAAGAUUUAUCACUUGAAGAUGGCUGUGCGCCUGAUUAGGUAGUUGGCGGGGUAACGGCCCACCAAGCCUUCGAUCAGUAACUGGUGUGAGAGCACGACCAGUCACACGGGCACUGAGACACGGGCCCGACUCCUACGGGAGGCAGCAGUAGGGAAUCUUGCGCAAUGGGCGAAAGCCUGACGCAGCCAUGCCGCGUGAAUGAUGAAGGUCUUAGG
rnacentral:rRNA from 1 species